GAUGAACGCUGGCGGCGUGCCUAAUACAUGCAAGUCGAGCGAACAGAUAAGGAGCUUGCUCCUUUGACGUUAGCGGCGGACGGGUGAGUAAAACGUGGGUAACCUACCUAUAAGACUGGAAUAACUCCGGGAAACCGGGGCUAAUGCCGGAUAACAUUUAGAACCGCAUGGUUCUAAAGUGAAAGAUGGUUUUGCUAUCACUUAUAGAUGGACCCGCGCCGUAUUAGCUAGUUGGUAAGGUAACGGCUUACCAAGGCAACGAUACGUAGCCGACCUGAGAGGGUGAUCGGCCACACUGGAACUGAGACACGGUCCAGACUCCUACGGGAGGCAGCAGUAGGGAAUCUUCCGCAAUGGGCGAAAGCCUGACGGAGCAACGCCGCGUGAGUGAUGAAGGUCUUCGGAUCGUAAAACUCUGUUAUUAGGGAAGAACAAAUGUGUAAGUAACUGUGCACGUCUUGACGGUACCUAAUCAGAAAGCCACGGCUAACUACGUG
rnacentral:rRNA from 1 species